rnacentral:lncRNA from 1 species
GGCACACGUGGAGCUGCGCGUGGAGGAGUCCAGGCUGCAGCCGAGGGAGCUGAGUAGGGCAAAGUUAGGAGUCGCUGUUUGGAUGGCAAGUUCAGAAGUUGGAACUUGUCUCAGUUUCCCCGCUCCAGAAAUGGGGUUGUGAUAUAAAGACAGGGAUAUGAGUGAAGAAAACACAGAGCCACCCUGGAAAGGGCACCCUCUUACGCACAGUCGGAUGGUCUAUGGAGACUCACAAUCAUGUGCAAUCUGGAAGGCAAAGAAUGAGUGGGGAGAUCUGAGAAUCGAUACUGAACAGCUUCAGUACUACGAUGUCAUAAUGGGGCUGUGAGCUCAGCCGAAAGCCCCCCGCCCAGUUUUUUUUGGAAGUGGUCAUAGAAUCUCUCUGGAGAAACAACAUGGAAAUGGAGACCAAAAGAGGGAAGGAGGGAUGCCACCAGAUGACACUGGGAUCCCGGAAGACGGAACACUGUGUGCAACGGGCAAAGGAACUUUUCAAAAGGGAUUUCAACCUCUGACCACCUGGAGACAGGCGACUGGCGCUCAUUGUAAAUGCACCGACAUGACAGGGAACAGCUGCUGGGGAGGUGGAGACGGGUGCCGGGAGAGACAGGAAACCCCAGAGGCUUGGAAAUCCAGGAGCCACAGGAAGCAGUGAGCUUUCUGCGGAGCCGGAUCCGGUGGAGCCAAUUCACCAGCAGGUCCCGGCAGCAACUCUUCUACAACAGAUUCCUGCCCGUCCCUGUGCCCCAUCGCCCCCCUGCCGUCAAUCUCCACCUCAAGGGAGCCAGACCAAGCCUUUCUGUGUGUAGCGCACAUCUCUCCUGCGUAGAGCUCACCUAGUGGCUUCCAUAGCUUUUUUUUUUUUUUUUUUG